ACAAUCCUACGGGGCGCAGCAGUGGGGGAUAUUGCACAAUGGGGGGAACCCUGAUGCAGCGACGCCGCGUGGGUGAAGAAGCGCCUCGGCGCGUAAAGCCCUGUCAGUAGGGAAGAAAAUGACGGUACCUGAAGAAGAAGCCCCGGCUAACUACGUGCCAGCAGCCGCGGUAAUACGUAGGGGGCAAGCGUUAUUCGGAUUUACUGGGUGUAAAGGGGGCGCAGACGGCGAUGCAAGCCAGGAGUGAAAGCCCGGGGCCCAACCACGGGACUGCUCUUGGAACUGAGCGGCCAGAGUGCAGGAGG
rnacentral:rRNA from 1 species